GCUGGAAUAGCAAAGCGGCAAAUGCAAAAGACUUAGGAUCUUCUACCGAAGGUUCAACUCCUUCUUCCAGCU
rnacentral:tRNA from 2 species